rnacentral:rRNA from 1 species
ACGAACGCUGGCGGCGUGCUUAACACAUGCAAGUCGAACGGAAAGGCCCUGCUUUUGUGGGGUGCUCGAGUGGCGAACGGGUGAGUAACACGUGAGUAACCUGCCCUUGACUUUGGGGUAACUUCAGGAAACUGGGGCUAAUACCGGAUAGGAGCUCCUGCUGCAUGGUGGGGGUUGGAAAGUUUCGGCGGUUGGGGGUGGACUCGCGGCUUAUCAGCUUGUUGGUGGGGUAGUGGCUUACCAAGGCUUUGACGGGUAGCCGGCCUGAGAGGGUGACCGGCCACAUUGGGACUGAGAUACGGCCCAGACUCCUACGGGAGGCAGCAGUGGGGAAUAUUGCACAAUGGGCGGAAGCCUGAUGCAGCAACGCCGCGUGCGGGAUGACGGCCUUCGGGUUGUAAACCGCUUUCGCCUGUGACGAAGCGUGAGUGACGGUAAUGGGUAAAGAAGCACCGGCUAACUACGUG